rnacentral:rRNA from 1 species
GAGUUUGAUCAUGGCUCAGGAUGAACGCUGGCGGUAUGCUUUACACAUGCAAGUCGUACGAGAAUUUUUAAUUCAAGUGGCGGACGGGUGAGUAACACGUAAGAAUUUGCCUUUAGGAGGGGGAUAACAACUGGAAACGGUUGCUAAUACCCCAUAUGCUUUCGAGUGAGAUGGAGUUUUCCGCCUAGAGAGAAGCUUGCGGCUGAUUAGCUUGUUGGUGAGGUAAUGGCUUACCAAGGCGACGAUCAGUAUCUGGUUUGAGAGGACGAUCAGACACACUGGAACUGAGACACGGUCCAGACUCCUACGGGAGGCAGCAGUGGGGAAUUUUCCGCAAUGGGCGAAAGCCUGACGGAGCAAUACCGCGUGAGGAAUGACGGCCUAUGGGGUUGUAAACCUCUUUUUUCAGGNAANAAUAAAUGACGUGUACCUA